GUUGUAUAUAAACAUAAAUAACUUGUAACAAUGAAAGAAGCAUGAACCAACCGUGUUGAUAUAUCUCCACAUCGCACACAGCUAAAGCUUCGAAUGUCGUUGACCCAACACCUUCUCGUUUGUUAGUAAAGCAAUCUUACUAAAUCCAUAUCCAACGUUAGCCACUAUGUCUCUUUCCCAUAAUAACUCAAUAAAUAAAAUAAAAUUUGUAUUCCUCUCCUGAACCUU
rnacentral:lncRNA from 1 species